AGAGUUUGAUCCUGGCUCAGGAUGAACGCUAGCGACAGGCUUAACACAUGCAAGUCGAGGGGCAUCACGAUAUAGUAAUAUAUUGGUGGCGACCGGCGCACGGGUGAGUAACACGUAUGCAACCUGUCCUUCACCGGGGUAUAUCCCAUGGAAACGUGGAUUAAUCCCCCAUAGAGUCUUGUAUCUGCAUGGAUGUAAGAUGAAAGAAUUUCGGUGAUGUGAUGGGCAUGCGUCCUAUUAGGUAGUAGGCGGGGUAACGGCCCACCUAGCCGACGAUAGGUAGGGGUUCUGAGAGGAAGGUCCCCCACACUGGAACUGAGACACGGUCCAGACUCCUACGGGAGGCAGCAGUGAGGAAUAUUGGUCAAUGGCCUGAAACCAGCCAAGUCGCGUGAGGGAUGACAGCCCUAUGGGUUUUAAACCUCUUUUGUUGGAGAAGAAUAAAAAUCACGUGUGAUUUGAUGCCAGUAUCCAACGAAUAAGCAUCGGCUAACUCCGUGCCAGCAGCCGCGGUAAUACGGAGGAUGCGAGCGUUAUCCGGAUUUAUUGGGUUUAAAGGGUGCGUAGGCUGGUUAGCGGUAAAAUCGUCGGGCUUCACCCGAUCCCGCCGUUAAAACUGCAUGACUAGAGUACAUUUGAGGCAGGCGGAAUAAGUUAAGUAGCGGUGAAAUGCUUAGAUAUAACUUAGAACCCCGAUUGCGUAGGCAGCUUGCCAAACUGUAACUGACGCUGAUGCACGAGAGCGUGGGUAUCGAACAGGAUUAGAUACCCUGGUAGUCCACGCUGUAAACUAUGCUUACUGGCUCUAUGCGAUAUAUAGUAUGGGGCUGAGCGAAAGUAUUAAGUAAGCCACCUGGGGAGUACGUUCGCAAGAAUGAAACUCAAAGGAAUUGACGGGGGCCCGCACAAGCGGAGGAACAUGUGGUUUAAUUCGAUGAUACGCGAGGGUUUGAAUGUAUAUUGCAUGAGGCAGAGAUGUCUCUUUCCUUCGGGACCAUAUACAAGGUGCUGCAUGGUUGUCGUCAGCUCGUGCCGUGAGGUGUCGGGUUAAGUCCCCUAACGAGCGCAACCCCUGCCUUCAGUUGCCAUCAGGUCAUGCUGGGCACUCUGACGGGACUGCCACCGUAAGGUGAGAGGAAGGGGGGGAUGACGUCAAAUCAGCACGGCCCUUACAUCCAGGGCUACACACGUGUUACAAUGGCCGGUACAGAGGGUAGUGAUAUGCUGCCAAUCUCAAAAGCCGGUCGUAGUUCGGAUUGGAGUCUGCAACCCGACUCCAUGAAGUUGGAUUCGCUAGUAAUCGCGCAUCAGCCAUGGCGCGGUGAAUACGUUCCCGGGCCUUGUACCCAUGGAAGCCUGGAGUACCUGAAGUGCGUAACCGCAAGGAUCGUCCUAGGGUAAUACAGGUAACUGGGGCUAAGUCGUAACAAGGUAGCCGUACCGGAAGGUGCGGCUG
rnacentral:rRNA from 1 species